AUUCGUCUUCAGGGGCAGGGUGAAAUUCCCGACCGGUGGUAUAGUCCACGACCUAUUGGUUCGCCAUUUAGCUGAACUGGUGUAAUUCCAGUACCGACAGUAAAGUCUGGAUAAAGAAGAUGGGG
rnacentral:ncRNA from 1 species